GAGACUGGGAUGAAAAAUCAAAUUCACAUCUUAAUCUCACCAUCAAUUUCCUCGUGUAAACUCCCAAUCCCCUUCCCUCAAGUUACCAAACAAGCCGUUCAUUGCCAUCCGCCCUACCGAUACCGCCACCAGAUGUGGUCGCGCUCCCUUCUCCUGCACCCGUGCUCCUUCUCCGCCCCGCACGGCGCCGCGCUCGCGCUCUUUUCUGCUUCGCACCCGAGCGCGCGUGAGAGAGAUGCGCCGCGGAGCGCUCCUUCCCCUCGAUCCCCCGCUGUCGCUGCGCUCUCUUCUUCUCUGCCCCCGUGCGCACGCGAGAGAGAUGCGCCGCGGGCCCGCCGACCCCCGCCGCGCCGGUUCCCCCCAUCGCGCGCUUCUCCUCCCCACGUCGCACUGCUCCCCCCAUCCCCCACACGGCAGCCACGCCGCAGCGCCGCGCGCCUGUAGCCCUAGCCAGGUGCGGCUGCAGGUAUCGCGUGAUGGAGGAUGCGCUGGGAGCCCUAGCGCCAUGCCGGCCUCUUGCAAUCCGGCCUCUCCUCAAAUCCAUACAUCCCUCACAUCAACCGUUCUGUGUGCAAGCCUCAACCACGCACCCCUUCAUCCUACAAGGGCACAUGAUUGCAAUCGAGUCAUGUAAGUUGGGAAGGACCCAGAGGAUUGCUAUAUAGUUGUCCUGACAUAGCGAGGAGCAGCAACUUACUCGUUUGUUUGAGCAGUUGGGGAGAUACCAGGGAUCGCUACACAAGUGUCCUGAUGUAGCGAGGAACCGCAUACCUGCUCGUUGGGGAGAUACCAGAGAAUUGCUAGAUAAGUGUCCUGCAUAGCGAGGGAUCGCAGACCUGCUCGGUCAUAUGUUGAAAGGAGUAAAACGCAGCUCCACAUUGUUAGCUUAUGACCUUGAUGCCGUUUCAAGGUUUUCUUACUUGAGUGCA